UAAUAACUCUACCAUCAAGGACCUCAUGUCAUUACCCAUUACCCACAAUCAAGCAUACACUACAUGCUAAAUUUAAAAUAGUUAAGUCCUCUAAAGGGUUAAAUAAGUUUUACAACCAUAUAAGACAUAAGUAAAGUUUAUAAUUUACAUUGCCAAAAAUAGAGAUAUACAGAAAAGUAACGUAUAAUUAACAAAAUUAACUUUUCUGAAAUAUACAUCCAACUACUACAAAAUGGAUGUCAUCCAUGUCAUGCACCCAAAAUAACAACAAGUCUUCAGUGCCCCUUUACCUUCAUCUGUAAAAUUAUUUAUAACGACGGGAUGAGUUAUAUAACUCAGUAGAAAAAUCUUUUACUACAUUUAAAAUUCUAACUUGGUGGCCUGUGUCAGUGUAGUGGGAAUCUAGUCCAAUGCAGAAUGCCAUCUACACUAAUUAAACACAAUUAAAAUCCAAACAACAUAUAAAAAUUUGGGUAAUACUUGCUUCUCCUCCGCCCUCGGCGUAGAGCAAGUUAAAUUCCGGCGGUUUCCUCCCAAGGUCAGAUUGGAGGCCCCGAGACCCCCUUGUCCAAGUCUUGGGUGUUUACAAAACAAGUCUGUGCUACAAGACCCGGGGGGGGGGGGAAUAUAUAUUUUCCUCUACCAGUUUCUUUCAAAACAACAUUCUAUACACCCAUGAAUUUAACCAACAAUCACUUCUAGUUUAAAAUUUUCGAGUUUAUUCAUAUAAAUUAGCGCUUUACCCAUAUCACCUACAUAGUCUUUCACCAACCACAUGCUCAUCAACAUUUAACUAACACUAUAUGCUUUUAGCACCUAAUUGACAAGAAAUUAAUUAGUCAUAAUAUUAUUUCCCAAACAACAAUAACACUUUAAAGUUAAUCUAAUGAGUACAAGAUUAAACUACUUAUCUAACAAAUAACAUUUAAAUGGGCAAGAAACUCCCAACCACAUGAUAAGUGACUCAACCCUAGGGUUUGCUAAAUAUGCUUCAAUCAGUGAUUCCUUUGAUUUUUGAGUUAGAGCUUAGUUAUCACACAGCCUUUGUAUUCUAAAAGUGACCAAAAUUUGUGAUUUAUAGCAAAAAAUUUGACAAAGGCGGAGAUCUUUGCGUCGCGCACAGAGAGGCCGAGAGGAGAAAGGAAACGGCGAGAAAGACGGGGAAAAUGAGAAGUCUUGUUCACACUUUAAUAUAUAUAUAGUGAAUAAUUACAUAGUAGAGUAUAGUUAACCUCCUAAUUAACUUAUUAAACUUUAUUUUUCCAAUUUAACCCACAACCAACCCGAAACAUAAAAUAAUUAUACUAUAUAUAAAUGAUAAAUUACCGAAUCAUCACCAACUGAGUCUUGACCACUUGGACACUGACACUUGACACUUGAACACUUGACACCACUGUGUUACUAUUACAUUGCACACAAUUAAAUACGUGUACAACUCCCAAAGGACAAAACCAAAGCAAAGUGCCAAAGAAUCCACCUAAAGGCCUAAAAGGUCAACCAAAAUAGGGUACAAUCAUUGUUAGCUAUAAGUAGGGCUGUCACGGACUCACGUAGGGGGUAGGGGCUUCCAAUGCACUGGCGGAGGCUAGUCACAUAGCUAGUGGACAGUACUUAAUUAAUUAAGAUGUCCCUUGCUGAUUGCAUGAUCUUGGGUAGGUGUGAUUUGGAAUUUACCACAUUAGGCCCGAGCCGCAGGGCCCGAUUCACAAACUCGGGCCCGAGCCCGAAGUAAAAGCCCAAUUGUGGGCUGGGUGAUAGUAACAAAUUUAAGCCCGGCCAAGCUGGCUUGAUUAUAUUUCGGGGCUAGCCAGCCCGAUUUUUUUUCCCCGGGGGAAAAAAAAGCCUGAAAAGCCCGAACUAAAUUCAGGUGGGAUGGGCCGGGGCUGGCCCCAUUGACCAGCUCUAGUUUUAGUAACGGUAUUCAAACGGUAUAACAGUUGUGUAGCACGUCACUAGUAUUGUGAGGUCGACCAAUGUGGAGGGAAUGGAGGCAUGAUUUUUAUUUUUAAUUUCAGGGGCUAGAAAUUGACAUGGUACUAAUUGAUAAGCCCACGUUCUACUUUUAUCAUUACCCACAGAAUGUUUAGUGUGGGUUUUAAUCAAUAUUUUGACACAUGGAAUUGUGUUUCGUAAAAUAAUAUUGAAUGAUAGGUUACUUCUUAGGCCAUAAAAAUUGUUGAGAGAAUUUCAAAUAAUUGAAACUUUACUAGAAUAGAUAAGGAUAAUGUGAAUAAUACGCAUAUGACAUGUAAUGAUUAAAAUAAUAGAAUAAUUCCCCGAACUGCAAAAUCGAACUAUAAUCAAACCCCCAAUUGUCAACAGAUUUCAUUUUGUCUACACGUAUGUGCUUUUUUGUAACAGUGCUUGUAUUGGAUGUAUCGACCGAUAUGGACCAAUACACAUCGGCCUCUACACGUGAAUUUUCCAGAAAAACUUCCCACAUUCUGAAUAAAAAUAUUUAUUCCGAAGAAGCGUACCUCUACCAUACCACGUUUUGCGG
rnacentral:lncRNA from 1 species